rnacentral:rRNA from 1 species
UACGUAGGGUGCGAGCGUUGUCCGGAAUUACUGGGCGUAAAGAGCUCGUAGGCGGUGUGUCGCGUCGGCCGUGAAAACCUGCAGCUUAACUGUGGGCUUGCAGUCGAUACGGGCAUCACUGGAGUUCGGCAGGGGAGACUGGAAUUCCUGGUGUAGCGGUGAAAUGCGCAGAUAUCAGGAGGAACACCGGUGGCGAAGGCGGGUCUCUGGGCCGAUACUGACGCUGAGGAGCGAAAGCGUGGGGAGCGAACAGG